ACACCUCAACUCUCAUGGUUUGCCGUGACGAGCUUGGACCUUGGGGGUUUUGCUGGCCUGUGGUCGGCUCCUCUCAAAUGAAUCAGCCUCCCGGUGUUUGGUGGCAUCACGAGUGUGAUAACUAUCUACGCUCGCGGUUGUCCACCAGGUAACCUUUGGUGACAAAGGUUCGCUGGAGCUCACAGAUGUCUCUCCUCAGCGAGGACAGCUUUUUAAC
rnacentral:misc_RNA from 1 species